GUGAGGGAAAGGUGAAAAGCACCCCGGAAGGGGAGUGAAAGAGAACCUGAAACCGUGUGCCU
rfam:Bacillus sp. VT-16-70 Bacillus_obstructivus_contig044, whole genome shotgun sequence.